ensembl:lncRNA
AGAACAUUUCCAUAGUUUUUCUGCAUUGUUUUAAUUUCUUUUACACAUAUUUAAUUACUAUAAUUAUUUUUGAUAUCUGGGAUACAUACGACCUGUCCUGUGUAUGUGGAUGAGAGUAAAACGCAUUUGGAUUGAGACAUGGAGCAGCUCUUUUUUCUUCUCAUUCACGUAUUUGCUUCUUCAUCCUUAAUCUCAGCAGGAAAUGACACGAGCAUACAAACUACGUUACCUCCAAACACAAAUGCUACUUCUCCAUGUUCUGCUGAUUCAAGAACAGAAGUCCAAACUGAAAAAACAACGACUUCUACUUUUUCAUCUCAAUAUGAGAAUAACAUGACCAGCCACACAUCAAAAACUGUGAGCACAACCACAGCUCCUGUAUCUUCUAGCCACACAGGACAGUCCAGCAUUACCAGCUCCAUGUUAACAACACCAAAAUCCUACACUGACACAACUCUAAAUUCCACCUCAUCCACAGCGGCCAAAAUAACAGGCAGUACUGAUGGAUCUGGCCUCUCUUCGCAUAAAACAUCAGUGGGUGUUUCUGUACUUGCAAACACUUCAACAACAGCUAAUUCAAACAUCAGCAUGUCAGAGGGGACGCCAACACCUUCACAGGCACCAGACAGCAGCCUCACUUCGCUCGCCUUUGGUGUGAUGAGUCUUAUACUCAUUUUAAUUGUUGUCAUGGUGGUCUUGGUGACUGCUAUCAACCUCAGGGGACGGUGUAGAGACAUCAAACAACACAAGAGUAUUAAAAGCUGUGAUUCUGUGGUGUCUGACAGCAACAUGACCAGCAACUGUGAGAAAGAGAGCAUCACUCUUGUCUCUGUGAGGACAAUAAACACAGAAAACAAUACAGAUUCUCCCCAGAUGUCUUCGGUUCACAGCACUAUACUGGACAAUGAGGACCAAGAAUUUAGCAGAGACUUGCUGUUCAUCAAUGAUGGACUGUGAUUUCACUCAGUUCAUAGUGCAUGAGAUUGGAGGCUGCAUACUAUAUUUAUAAUGUUAAAUGAAUGUGAACUAAUGUGCCUCUAGCUGAUGGUCAGUGUACAGAUCACACAUCAUGCUUAUGGCCUACAUUGGUGCACUGCAUAUAAAAUGAUCCCUAUAUCAGACAUGCUCUCGUAUAUUGAACAUGACACAUACUUCAUUGAUAAAUAAAAUGUCACUUUUGUGUUGAUAUUCUUUUUCA